rnacentral:rRNA from 1 species
UACGGGGGGGGCAAGCGUUGUUCGGAAUUACUGGGCGUAAAGGGCUCGUAGGUGGCCAACUAAGUCAGACGUGAAAUCCCUCAGCUUAACUGGGGAACUGCGUCUGAUACUGGAUGGCUUGAGUUUGGGAGAGGGAUGCGGAAUUCCAGGUGUAGCGGUGAAAUGCGUAGAUAUCCGGAGGAACACCGAAGGCGAAGGCAGUGUCCUGGGGAGUACCUGACGCUCAGGUGCGAAAGCCAGGGGAGCGAACCGG